rnacentral:misc_RNA from 1 species
CGGGAGGCCAGCGGCGACGACUUAACUUACCUGAAGACGACGACGUCGCCGCGGGAGAAGUGGUAGCGGUGGAGGCAGCGCUUAUCUACCAGAGCGCGUUCGGCCUGCUGCGGGUCGAAGGUGGGGUGCAUGGAGGCGCCGUGCAAGGUGACGUAGGAGGCGCUCCAGUCGGCGAUGGUGAUGCCGAACACGCCGCCGGUGAUGCAGCCUUUAACGAUCGGCCAGACGGCGGCCAAGAUUCUCGCCAUGCGCGCGGAAAGGAAAGGGACCAGCGGAUGACAGCGCCUCCGCCGCUUGCCGUCCCGUCAGGGUGACUGGGUGAGGGAAGACGGGAUGACACUACUAUCUCCGUCUCUCCCCUCCGUUCCGUACUUUUUUGUUAGGUUUUCUCACAAUUUCAAUUCCUCAUAUGUGCUACAUCGUAUUUGGAAGUUUAAGAUAAUUUCAAACACAC